rnacentral:rRNA from 1 species
AGAUUGCUCUAAGUCUAAGGAUUGCAGCAGGGGCGAAACUUGACCUAUGAUAUUAUAUUGAGGCAGUUAUGAGUAGUAUUUUAUAAUUAUUGUAGUAUUGUAAGUACAUAUUACAAGAUAAAUCGGAGGGCAAAUCGAGUGCCAGCAGCCGCGGUAAUACYUGUUCCGAUAGUGUGUAUGAUGAUUGAUGCAGUUAAAAAGUCUGUAGUUUAUUUAUAAUAAGCAUUGUAAGGUAUACUGUAUGGUUAGGAGAGAGAUGAAAUGUGAUAACCCUAACUGGAUGAACAGAAGCGAAAGCUGUAUACUUAAAUGUAUUAUUAGAACAAGGACGUAAGCUAGAGGAUCGAAGAUGAUUAGAUACCAUUGUAGUUCUAGCAGUAAACUAUGUUGAAUCAUAGAUAUAUUUUGAUAUAUAUUUAUGUAGAGAAAUUAAGAUUAUAUUGACUCUGGGGAUAGUAUGAUCGCAAGAUUGAAAAUUAAAGAAAUUGACGGAAGAAUACCACAAGGAGUGGAUUGUGCGGCUUAAUUUGACUCAACGCGGGGUAAUUUACCAGGUAUAACAUGAUAUAAUAUUUUAUCAUGAUAGUGGUGCAUGGCCGUUUCCAAUGGAUGCUGUGAAGUAAUGAUUAAUUUCAACAAGAUGUGAGACCCUCAUUUAGACAGAUGUAGUGAUACAUAUGAAGGAGAGGAUUAAAACAGGUCCGUUAUGCCCUAAGAUAAUCUGGGUUGCACGCGCAAUACAAUAAUAUUUGAUAUUAUAAGGGAUAAUAUAAUGUAAGAUAUAUUUGAACAUGGAAUUGCUAGUAAAUUUUAUUUAAUAAGUAGAAUUGAAUGAGUCCCUGUUCUUUGUACACACCGCCCGUCGCUAUCUAAGAUGGUAUUAUCUAUGAACAAAUUUAUAAAGUGAAUAGAUAGUACUAGAUCUGAUAUAAGUCGUAACAUGGUUGCUGUUGGAGAACC